rnacentral:rRNA from 1 species
GACGAACGCUGGCGGCGUGCCUAACACAUGCAAGUCAACUUGACUGAAGGAGCAAUCUGACAGUAGAGUGGCGCAAGGGUGCGUAACGCGUAAGUAACUUGCCCCAAGGUAAGGAAUAACGUCGAGAAAUCGGCGCUAAUACCUCAUAAUGCAGCGGAUCCGCAUGGAUAUGUUGUUAAAGGUUUACCGCCUUGGGAUAGGCUUGCGUCUGAUUAGUUAGUUGGUGUGGUAACAGCACACCAAGGCUACGAUCAGUAACUGGUCUGAGAGGAUGAUCAGUCACACUGGAACUGAGUCACGGUCCAGACUCCUAGGGAGCAGCAGUGAGGAAUAUUGGGCCAAUG